rnacentral:rRNA from 1 species
ACUCUAGGGAGACUGCCGGUGACCAAACCGGAGGAAGGUUGGGGAUGACGUCAGGUCAUCAUGGCCCCUUACGGCCAGGGCUACACACGUGCUACAAUGGCGCGCACAGAGGGCUGCAAACCCGCGAGGGGGAGCCAAUCUCACAAAACGCGUCGUAGUCCGGAUCGCAGUCUGCAACUCGACUGCGUGAAGUCGGAAUCGCUAGUAAUCGUGAAUCAGAAUGUCACGGUGAAUACGUUCCCGGGCCUUGUACACACCGCCCGUCACACCAUGGGAGUGGAUUGCACCAGAAGUGGUUAGUCUAACCUUCGGGAGGACGAUCACCACGGUGUGGUUCAUGACUGGGGUGAAGUCGUAACAAGGUAGCCGUAGGGGAACCUGCGGCUGGAUCACCUCCUU